AGAGUUUGAUCCUGGCUCAGAUUGAACGCUGGCGGCAGGCCUAACACAUGCAAGUCGAGCGGUAGAGAGAAGCUUGCUUCUUUUGAGAGCGGCGGACGGGUGAGUAAUGCCUAGGAAUCUGCCUGGUAGUGGGGGAUAACGUUCGGAAACGGACGCUAAUACCGCAUACGUCCUACGGGAGAAAGCAGGGGACCUUCGGGCCUUGCGCUAUCAGAUGAGCCUAGGUCGGAUUAGCUAGUUGGUGAGGUAAUGGCUCACCAAGGCUACGAUCCGUAACUGGUCUGAGAGGAUGAUCAGUCACACUGGAACUGAGACACGGUCCAGACUCCUACGGGAGGCAGCAGUGGGGAAUAUUGGACAAUGGGCGAAAGCCUGAUCCAGCCAUGCCGCGUGUGUGAAGAAGGUCUUCGGAUUGUAAAGCACUUUAAGUUGGGAGGAAGGGCAGUUACCUAAUACGUGAUUGUUUUGACGUUACCGACAGAAUAAGCACCGGCUAACUCUGUGCCAGCAGCCGCGGUAAUACAGAGGGUGCAAGCGUUAAUCGGAAUUACUGGGCGUAAAGCGCGCGUAGGUGGCUUGUUAAGUUGGAUGUGAAAUCCCCGGGCUCAACCUGGGAACUGCAUUCAAAACUGACUGACUAGAGUAUGGUAGAGGGUGGUGGAAUUUCCUGUGUAGCGGUGAAAUGCGUAGAUAUAGGAAGGAACACCAGUGGCGAAAGCGACCACCUGGACUAAUACUGACACUGAGUGCGAAAGCGUGGGGAGCAACAGAUUAGAUACCCUGGUAGUCCACGCCGUAAACGAUGUCAACUAGCCGUUGGGAGCCUUGAGCUCUUAGUGGCGC
rnacentral:rRNA from 1 species